AUUGAACGCUGGCGGCAGGCUUAACACAUGCAAGUCGAGCGGGGGAAGGUAGCUUGCUACCGGACCUAGCGGCGGACGGGUGAGUAAUGCUUAGGAAUCUGCCUAUUAGUGGGGGACAACAUCUCGAAAGGGAUGCUAAUACCGCAUACGUCCUACGGGAGAAAGCAGGGGAUCUUCGGACCUUGCGCUAAUAGAUGAGCCUAAGUCGGAUUAGCUAGUUGGUGGGGUAAAGGCCUACCAAGGCGACGAUCUGUAGCGGGGCUGAGAGGAUGAACCGCCACACUGGGACUGGGACACGGCCCAGACUCCUACGGGAGGCAGCAGUGGGGAAUAUUGGACAAUGGGGGGAACCCUGAUCCAGCCAUGCCGCGUGUGUGAAGAAGGCCUUAUGGUUGUAAAGCACUUUAAGCGAGGAGGAGGCUACUUUAGUUAAUACCUAGAGAUAGUGGACGUUACUCGCAGGAUAAGCACCGGCUAACUCUGUGCCAGCCGCCGCAGUAA
rnacentral:rRNA from 1 species